rnacentral:pre_miRNA from 1 species
UGGCAGUGUGGUUAGCUGGUUGUGUAGUUGUUAAUCACGACCGCUUCUGCACUGCCCUC